rnacentral:lncRNA from 1 species
AUAGUGGGGCCCCCAGAUCUCCACAGACAUGAAGAGAUUAUUCAUCAGACCCUUUGAACCAAGAAAAUGACCACAAGUGAUGAGUGGAAAUUCUACCUCACUGGCCUCAAAGCCCUGUCUCAGUUCCUUUUUUGUGCUCCAAAGAGACAACAUGACCAAGGCAAGAAUGGUGGGACCAGGCUGAACAGAAAACUCCAUCUACAAAAUGACAACCAUACUUGGAGCAAGAAUCUCCGUGUAAAACCUGACAAAUGCUUAAAAAGGGAUUUUAAAAACAAAGAACAAAGUCAAGCAUGGCUUCUUGAUAGCAGCGUUUUCUCAGGUGGGCUCUGUUUGCUAGAGACAAACAGAGGUGUGGCUCCUUUAAGAGAGGCUUCCUGAUUCAGCAUUAGUGGCAUAAACCUCAGCUCUUUUAAGAGGCCAGGC